rnacentral:rRNA from 1 species
GAUGAACGCUGGCGGCGUGCCUAAUACAUGCAAGUCGAGCGAACAGACGAGGAGCUUGCUCCUUUGACGUUAGCGGCGGACGGGUGAGUAACACGUGGAUAACCUACCUAUAAGACUGGGAUAACUUCGGGAAACCGGAGCUAAUACCGGAUAACAUGUUGAACCGCAUGGUUCAACAGUGAAAGACGGUUUUGCUGUCACUUAUAGAUGGAUCCGCGCCGCAUUAGCUAGUUGGUAAGGUAACGGCUUACCAAGGCAACGAUGCGUAGCCGACCUGAGAGGGUGAUCGGCCACACUGGAACUGAGACACGGUCCAGAUUCCUACGGGAGGCAGCAGUAGGGAAUCUUCCGCAAUGGGCGAAAGCCUGACGGAGCAACGCCGCGUGAGUGAAGAAGGUCUUCGGAUCGUAAAACUCUGUUAUUAGGGAAGAACAAAUGUGUAAGUAACUAUGCACGUCUUGACGGUACCUAAUCAGAAAGCCACGGCUAACUACGUG